rnacentral:tRNA from 1 species
GAAAUAUGUAUAUCAAGAAAAAGCUUCUAACUUUAUUCUUUAGCGAUGAAAUCUCGUUAAUAUUUCU